CCCUUAGGCGUUCUGGGCCGCACGCGCGCUACACUGACGGAGCCAGCGAGUAUAAACCUUGGCCGAGAGGUCUGGGAAAUCUUGUGAAACUCCGUCGUGCUGGGGAUAGAGCAUUGUAAUUAUUGCUCUUCAACGAGGAAUUCCUAGUAAGCGCAAGUCAUCAGCUUGCGUUGAUUACGUCCCUGCCCUUUGUACACACCGCCCGUCGCUACUACCGAUUGAAUGGCUUAGUGAGGCUUCCGGAUUGGUUUAGAGAAGGGGGCAACUCCAUCUUGGAACCGAGAAGCUAGUCAAACUUGGUCAUUUAGAGGAAGUAAAAGUCGUAACA
rnacentral:rRNA from 1 species